rnacentral:rRNA from 1 species
GACGAACGCUGGCGGCGUGCUUAACACAUGCAAGUCGAACGGAAAGGCCCUGCUUUUGUGGGGUGCUCGAGUGGCGAACGGGGGAGUAACACGUGAGUAACCUGCCCUUGACUGUGGGAUAACUUCAGGAAACUGGGGCUAAUACCGGAUAGGAGCUCCUGCUGCAUGGUGGGGGUUGGAAAGAUUCGGCGGUUGGGGAUGGACUCGCGGCUUAUCAGCUUGUUGGUGGGGUAGUGGCGUACCAGGGCUUUGACGGGUAGCCGGCCUGAGAGGGUUACCGGCCACAUUGCGCCUGAGAUACGGCCCAGACUCCUACGGGAGGCAGCAGUGGGGAAUAUUACACAAUGGGGGGAAGCCUGAUGCAGCAACGCCGCGUGCGGGAUGACGGCCUUCGGGUUGUAAACCGCUUUCGCCUGUGCCGAAGCGUGAGUGACGGUAAUGGGUAAAGAAGCACCGGCUAACUACGUG